CCUACGGGUGGCAGCAGUGGGGGAUAUUGCACAAUGGGGGAAACCCUGAUGCAGCGACGCCGCGUGAGUGAAGAAGUAUUUCGGUAUGUAAAGCUCUAUCAGCAGGGAAGAAAAUGACAGUACCUGACCAAGAAGCACCGGCGAAAAACGUGCCAGCAGCCGCGGUAAUACGAAGGGGGCAAGCGUUGUCCGGAUUUACUGGGUGGAAAGGGAGCGUAGACGGUAAGGUAGGUCAGGAGUGAAAGCCCGGGGCCCAACCCCGGGACUGCUUUGGAUACUGUGUAACUUGAGUACAGGAGGGGCAGGCGGAAUUCCUGGUGUAGCGGUGAAAUGCGUAGAUAUCAGGAGGAACACCGGCGGCGAAGGCGGCCUGCUGGACUGAAACUGACGUUGAGGCUCGAAAGCGUGGGGAGCAAACAGGAUUAGAUACCCCAGUAGUC
rnacentral:rRNA from 1 species